rnacentral:rRNA from 1 species
UACGGGGGGGGCAAGCGUUGUUCGGAAUUACUGGGCGUAAAGGGCUCGUAGGUGGCCAACUAAGUCAGACGUGAAAUCCCUCGGCUUAACCGGGGAACUGCGUCUGAUACUGGAUGGCUUGAGUUCGGGAGAGGGAUGCGGAAUUCCUGGUGUAGCGGUGGAAUGCGCAGAUAUCAGGAGGAACACCGAUGGCGAAGGCAGGUCACUGGGCCGCAACUGACGCUGAGGAGCGAAAGCAUGGGGAGCGAACAGG